rnacentral:rRNA from 1 species
GACGAACGCUGGCGGCGUGCUUAACACAUGCCAGUCGAACGGAGCGGCGAACGGGCGAGUAACACGAGGGGGAUCUGCCCUGCACUCCGGGUUAAGCUUGGGAAAAUGGGUCUAAUCCAGGAUAGUGCAAUAUGAGCGCGCGUCCGAUCAGCUUGUUGGUGGGGUAAUGGCCUACCAAGGCGUCGAGGGGUAGCAGGCCGGCGAGGGUGUACGGCCACAUUGGGACUGAGAUACGGCCCAGACGCCUACGGGAUGCAGCAGUGGGGAAUAUUGCACAAUGGGCGGAAGCCUGAUGCAGCGACGCCGAGUGGGGGAUGAAGGCCUUCGGGUUGUAAACUCCUUUCGACAGGGACGCGGUACCUGUAUAAGAAGCACCGGCUAACUACGUGCCAGCAGCCGCGGUAAUUC